UAAGGAAUAUUGGUCAAUGGACGCAAGUCUGAACCAGCCAUGCCGCGUGGAGGAUGAAGGCCCUCUGGGUUGUAAACUUCUUUUAUCUGGGAAGAAACCCAUCUUUUCUAAGGUGGUUGACGGUACCAGAUGAAUAAGCACCGGCUAACUCCGUGCCAGCAGCCGCGGUAAUACGGAGGGUGCAAGCGUUAUCCGGAUUCACUGGGUUUAAAGGGUGCGUAGGUGGGCAGGUAAGUCAGUGGUGAAAUCUCUGGGCUUAACCCAGAAACUGCCGUUGAUACUAUCUGUCUUGAAUAUAGUGGAGGUGAGCGGAAUAUGUCAUGUAGCGGUGAAAUGCUUAGAUAUGACAUAGAACACCCAUUGCGAAGGCAGCUCGCUACACUAUUAUUGACACUGAGGCACGAAAGCGUGGGGAUCAAACA
rnacentral:rRNA from 1 species